rnacentral:lncRNA from 1 species
UCUCCCUGCAGUCAUUUAUAACUGUGAAAAAAGAAAAUGUCUUCUUCUUUAGUGAAUGUUUGCUCCUUAAGAGUACAAAUUGACUCAACUUGUUUGCCUUUGCCCUGAUGGAGAAACAUGAUGAGCUCCCAUUGCCUUUCUCACCAGCAGCCUGGAGGUUGUUUUGGUCGGAUUUAUAUGGACACAGGUGGUGCCCUGAGGUUCCGUGCCUUUAUGAAGAACACCUGCUCCAAUUUCUUUUGCUCUCAUUAUCGCUGGGAGAGCCUUAUCCAGUCAAUAGAUAUCUUCUUGGAGGAACUGAAACAUCUUCAUCUUGAAUGAAAUCAGUAGAAAAAAACAUUUCUUAUCCCCACCCACUACACCCUUCCCCCACAUUGAAUCUUCCCAUGUGACAAAGAAAGUUGAAGAUAUUGAAGAAGGAUUAAAUCAGGAUUCUAAAGAACAUUGACAUCUAAACUUUAUUUGGCUGUGGAGGUAUGUAUGGGUGAUGGUUCAUCUUUACCAAAUCUAUAGACUGAAAGGAAGAGAGAACUCCAUCAGUUUAUGUCUCAGUCCUUGCCACUGAGACAUGGACAGAACCAUUCUGCAAUUGAAGGCACAUGGAGAUUGCCCAUAUACCCUUUGGAAUAAUAAUUUGAUCUUUGGUAAGGAAGGAGGGAACAGCUGUGAUCUGCCAACUUUGCACAUUAUUCCUAAUAGCCUUGUAUUAAGGGCUUCCAAUUUGAAGCCAGUAAUAUCCAUUGAGAAUAUUAUCCAACACUGG